rnacentral:lncRNA from 1 species
GGAAUUUGGUUAUUGUGAUAAUGUAGAUUUAAUAUUAUUUGUUGGAUACCAAUUUUUCGUGGAUUUCGUGGGUAUCAGUUAACCAUGAAAAUAGAUGUUCAAGGAAUAACAAAUUUUCUUGAGGAUGUACUAAGGUGAGGUUUUGGAAUUCGUGUCAAAUGUUGGACUUUGGUGUUUUUCCAUUCAAUACCAGGUAAAUUAUUUUGCCCCAUAAACCCCAUUUAUUUUUUCAUAUAAGACUUAAUAGCUCUUGAAAGGUCAUUUACCAAAAUUU